AAGCCCACGAGGCAGGGAUUUCCCAGCCCAAUCCGCGGGGAAGCCCUAGGGAAAGGACCCCGACCUCCGGAGAUCGGGAAUUUUUCCUCGCGCGAUCCGCCGCCGCUUCUCUCUCGCGCGGAGUCUCUUCUCUCGCGCGCAACCAAUGUUGGGCGCCGCCGCGCCUCCUCCUCCGGCGAGACGCGCCACCGCCGGGACUCCUCCGGCGAGACACCACCAGCACUGCCACCGUACUAGGGUAAGCCUUCUUCUCUUUCCCCUCCUCUCCUCCUCCUCCUAGGGUUUCUGCUCUUCUCCUCUAGGGUUUCCCCUCAGAUCUUUGGCUCAGUGGCUCAAUCCUCUCUUCUCAUCUUCCCCCAACAGCUUCUCUAGAACAGCCACCGUCAAUCUUGCUCCCACCUGAAGCAACACGACGCGCUCUCUCCAGUGGCAGUGCGCCAGUGCCCCAUCCCCCAGGUCAACCUCGAUAGCCACCAAGAGCGGUUCUCCAGUGGCCGUCACUAAGCAUCGCCAGCACCGUGACUCAGUUCGACUGGUUCGUGUCCUUUAUCCCAAAUCUGUGCUGUGAUUGUUUAUGGUUCAGUUUGGUUUGACUGGAAAUUUAAUUUUUGCAUCUUGUGAAUGUGGAACUAAUGAGAGAAACCACGGUUUGUGUGAAUGAUCUUUGCAAAGACUUGUUAAGUUCUUGUUUUUUGGUAGACAUGUUCAGGCUCAGAAAAGAGUUGAUCUAACGAACCGCAGGAGAAACCAAUGCUUUGCUUUCUUCUGGAGUGUGAAAUUUGCAUGCAAAAACUGAUUAGUAAUGUCUUUGCACAGGAAAUUUGGGACCAUCAGUAGAGCCCAGGUCUCAUCAUUGCAAGUUUUAACAGACAACAUAUUAUUCUUAUUUUGGGAAUCUAUCCAUCACUAGUACAUGUCCAAAAGAGGAUAGCAUUAGUCAGUGCUUAGAGCUUACAGUCAAGAUGGACAGUAGGUUAUCGUGCAUGUGUGAUGACAAUUUACAAUUGUGCAGGUUCAUAUGCUUUAACACAUAAGCUACGUGGUAAAUUAAACAACAUUGAUUAAGAAGGGAACACACGCGUUCACUGCUUCGACAGAUCAACUACAAGAAUUGUCAAGUAUGCCUCCUUGUACUUCCUCUCUUGCCAUAAUUUAAUUUAAAUUUAAUACGCAAUUUGCAAAGGGUUAUUGUACUUUAGCAUGCACUGGUAUGUAAACCUCAACUUCUUCACUCAAGAUUACUAUUUAGUUUUUUUUCUCUGCUCCGUUUGGUUUCCCUUUUCUCAUCUCUAGCUCUAGUUUUACCAUGAUUCUGUGAAAUGAAUAUUUUUAGAUCUAACAGAGAAUCUUUUUUUACUGGACAGAGAAUCAUUUUUGCUGGAGUUAUUAGGAACAUUUUAUGUUUAGCAAUAGUAUAUGUUCUGAUAUCUUCAUGAAAUUCAUUAUUAAACUGACAACAACCCUUCAAAGCUGAACACUAUAUCGCUCAUCCAUUAGACCAGCUAAUGCUACUACUAUUUUUUUUUCUGAGGAGCCAAAUUGCUGCAUAGGUAUGUCUGAUGGCCCUACAAUUUAACUUGAAAGCUCUGCUAUUUGUAUACUUGAUUCAAUUUCAGCAGAUGUAAAUUUUACAACUCUUUGUAUUCAGUUAAUCUGGUUUAAUUCUUCUCUAUUCUUGAUGGUCCUAGCUUAGCUUAAUUCUGAUUAAUUAUUGUAGUCUCUGUCAGGGAACCGUAUAAUUAGUGAUUAAUUUAGCAUGCAUGUGAGACUAAAUAAAUGGUAAAAAACAGAUUUUUGAUAGGACCUCGCUGGCCAAACAAAGUGACCUAGUAGUACUAAUUAAUUAAAACAACAACUACUACUACUAAUUAGUACUGCUAAGUGCUAACCAUAACUAUCUACACUAAUGACAGUGUUUGUGUGCUUGCUUGGGGGCAUAAAACUAAGAGACAGAGUUAGCUGGAGAUGGCCACGGUCCGUCUGAAGCAUUGCGCAUUAAUUUGCAUCUCAAACUGUAGUAGCAUGAGGCUUUAAUCUGUCUAAUCAGUUUGCACCUAAACAGCAGCUCAAUGGCACUGCAGUUCAGCUGAAAAUGUUGCAAAAGUUUACCUAAUGAGGACUCACAUAGGGGGUAUAUAUAUGAGAUGCACUUCUUUUCCUUGUCAUGUCCAUAAUGAUAAUUGUCCUCUUGCACUCUUCCUCUUGCCAUGAUUCAAUUUGAAUCUCUGGAUUGGCAUAAACAAGGAUUGUCCCACACAGAGCUAUACUCUAGUCUGCAUUUUCUAUACAAGAAGUACUUGAAUGAUUUUUUUUCUACCAACGCUACAGGUUGCACCCUUACUUGUGUUUUUAAUUCUUGGAUGUAGGCAACAGGCCUUGCCCUUGUAUAUUCAGCCUUGUUCUCAAUUUGGAGCAGCGAUGGAGAUAGUUGAUGCUUAUGAAUGCAGGAGGAAAACACAUCCAAGAUAUUUGUAAAUGAUAAUUGUAUGAUUAUAUCUUGUAUUUGCUGAAAGUGAUAUUUCUUGGAUGCUCAUAUAAUACUUGGCUAAAUACUGUAGAUGGUAGCUCAAUUUGAUCAUCUCAUGAAUUAAGUUGAUGCUUGUAUCUAUAAUGUUCUCUAUUUUACCUAGAAUUUAUUGCUCUAAUUGGAGUUCAUAUGAUUUUUCAGAUUUUUUUUCUUGCAUUUUUAACUUAAUUAUUCUAUUUUUGUGCUCAGUUAUGUUUAUUUAGACAUUUUUUUUA
rnacentral:lncRNA from 1 species